rnacentral:lncRNA from 1 species
AUAGGAUGUUUGAUAAAGUUUAAUUUUAAAUGUUUAAUGACUUAAAAUUAAAUUAUAUUUAAAUUAUUUAUUUAUGUCCUGAUAGGAUUUUUCUUGCCAACUGUUCAUAUGAUAGUGGGUAUUAAAUAUCAAGGAUCUCCCACCUAUUCCCUGAAUUUGCCCCUCUUUUAGUUAUGGAUAUCCCAUUCUCCUACCAACAUCAUUAAACAAUUGUACUUAUGUGACCAAAAAAAAAAAUCCGAGGACAAUGGCCCUAUCUAUCUAUGGAGUCUGGUGACCAAGUACGGAUGGACCCAAGGCUUUCUGGUGCCUCCUUCUUGGGGAUUCUUGAUAAAUAUACUGCAAUUAAAAAAAAUAAUAUUUAAAAUACCAUAGUUUGGAAAAUAAUUCCAAUUCUACGGCACUUUUGAACACGUAGGAUAAGAUAUGAAAACUCAUUCCCCCUUUCCAUUUCCCUUCCCGUUUUUCUUCUCUACAUCAAAACUCCUCUGCCCGAAAACCCACUAUCCCGCACGCUGAUCAUGAGGUGGAGAUCCUUGCUUCAACACCAAUAGGAAGGAAGUGAAGUGCAGAUCUGAGAAACCAUUGCCCCCGGUGUUUUCUGUAAGUUUUGUGGUUAUAUUUGGUGGUGUGGUUGUGUUUGGUCACCGAGAAAGUGUGGGAAAGUUGUAAAAAAAAUAAAGUUUUUGUUUUUUUUUACAAUGAAACUAAGUAGACUAAAAAUAAUGGAGAAAGUUUUAAUUUUUUUUGUGGUUCGGCUUGUUGUGAUUCUGUUUGGUUGCCAAGAAAGUGUGGGAAAGUUGAAAAAAAAAAAUUUUCCCAAUAUUUCCUACCAGUCCAGCCCGCGCACAGGGUAUCUGUCCAAUUUUUUUUUUAUUAAAAAACAUAAGCUAUUUGGUAAUCUGAUCAUGAUUUGAGGAGAAAGGUGAUCAUGAUUUGAGGGGAAAGGUUGUGUUUUUCAGCGUGGCUCAAAAAUCGUGGAUUUAGGGUUUGUGAAAUUUAAAUCCAAUGGCACAAAAGCAAAGAGACCCCUAGACAGAUCCAGAAAGCACGGAGCAAAAAAAAAAAACAUUUUUUUAUUUGUUUUUUUAGGGGGUUUUGCAUGGACUUUCCCGGAAAGCAAAUGGGGGAUGGAUUUUCUUGGGAAUCAAACGGGGGUUGCAACAAAAUAAAAAAAUAAUAACUUGAUUAGAUUAGUACCUAUAAUAAUUGAAAUUGAAAUUUUGUUUUUUUAGGGGGUUUUCCAUGGAUUUUCCCGGAAAGCAAAUGGGGGAUGGAUUUUCUUGGGAAUCAAACGGGGAUUGCACAAACUUGGGAAUCAAACGGGGGUUGCAACAAAAUAAAAAAAUAAUAACCUGAUUAGAUUAGUACCUACAAUAAUUGAAAUUGAAAUUCAAAUUUAAAUUCAAGGAGAUUCUUCACUUUUUAUUUGUUAAAAUAAAAAAUAAAAAAUACUAUCUUUUUUUUUGUUAAAAUUAAAAACAAAUAAGAAAUAUUUUUAUUUGUUUCAUUGCUCUCAACUGUUGCAAGAAGGUAUGUUGAUCUUUAAUAGGCAAUCCACAUACAUCAAUUAAAGAAAUAUUUUUAUUUCUAUAUGAAUCCUUUAAAGAAAUUUUCACUGAAAAAUUGUUGAAAGUGUCUCUUGAAGAGACACUUUCAGUAUAAACCCAAUUUUUUAAAAAUUAUGAAAGGUGUCCGAAUAUAAUUUCGUUUUUUUGUAAUUAUGGAAGGUGUCUCUUCAAGAGACACCUUUAGCAUAAAUUCAAAAUUUUCCACUGUUUGAAUGGAAAUUGUGGAAAGUGUCUUUUGAACAAGCACUUUCAGUAUAAACCCAAUAUUUUUAAAAUUAUGGAAGGUAUCAAGAGACACAUUUCACAAUUCCCAAAAAAUGGAAUUAUAUUGAAGGUGUCUCUUGAAGAGACACCUUCUAUUAUUUUAAAAAAAUUGGGUUUAUACUGAAAGUGUCUCUUGAAAAGACACUUUCCACAAUUUUCAUACAUUAAAGAGAGACAUCUUUAGCUUUAAAAUCAUUUCCACAAAUAAAAUACAUAUUGGAUUUUGUGAAAUUGUGUAAAGUGUCUUUCCAAGAGACACAUUUAGUAUAAAUCUAAUUUUUUGGAAUUCUAGAAGGUGUCUCUUUAAGAGACACCUUUGGUAUAAAUUAAAAUUUUUAGGAAUUGUAGAAGGUGUCUCUUUAAGAGACAUCUUUAGCUUUAAAAUCAAAUUUAUAAGACAUUCAAAUUUUUGAGGAAAGUGUCUCUUCAAGAGACACCUUUAAUGAAUAUUGGAUUUUUUGCCACGUGGAAAGUGUCUCGGUAAGAGACACCUUUAAUACAUAUUGGAUUUUUUGCCACGUGGAAAGUGUUUUUUCAAGAGACACCUUUAAUAUAAAUCAAAUUUUCUGAAAUUGUAGAAGGUGUCUCUUCAAGAGACACCUUUAGCUUAAAUUCAAUUCUUUCAUGAUUUUGAAAAUUGUGGAAGGUGUCUCUUCAAAAGACACCUUCCACGUGGCAAAAACUGCCGUAAAUCUAUCAAUAUUUUCAAAACUACCAUUUUUUAAUUAUAAUUUUUUAAAAUUGCCGCAAUAGUUAAAAAAGCCCUCCUUCUUGGUGCAUGCAUGCUUCUAAGCCUAGAAAAGGUCCAAAAGCAGUCAGCUGCUGUUUAGGCUCCUUCUUCCUAGUGUCACAUUAUCUGAGAUAUUAUAUCGUAAGCGAGAAUUGCUAGGCCCAGGAGACCGCACGCUCACAAAUAUGCCUGAGGCUGUAUAGUGUACUGGCUUUCAAAGGGGC